AUCUGCAUUAUUGUGCCCAGAUACAUCGAAACCCUUAAGGGAAGAAAGCGCUUUUUGUCAAAAAUAAAACUAGGAAACAGUGGAGAAAAGUCGAAGGCUCAGAGACAAGCUGUGAAUUCUAUAUGUCAGGGAUCUGCUGCUGACAUAAUUAAGCUUGCAAUGAUAAAUAUAUAUUCUGUGAUAGUUGAGGGUGUUGAAAGGCCUGAUUCUUCUUCUCAUCCUGCAACAAAGUUACACAUACUGAAGGGCCGCUGCAGAAUUUUAUUACAGGUACAUGAUGAAUUAGUACUGGAAGUUGAUCCUGUUGUGAUAAAGGAAGCUGCUUUGCUGCUACAGACGAGCAUGGAAAAUGCUGUUUCGCUUUGUGUUCCAUUGCAUGUCAAAGUGAAAGUCGGAAGAUCGUGGGGUUCCUUGCAACCUUUUCAGUUCGACCAAUAUAAAGAUAAAGCUGUUGUGCCUGCACAAUAAUUUGACCAAGGGAAAUUCACUAUAUAUUCUGGCUAAGCAAUGCUUUCCUUGGAAAGAUGCUGGACUGGACUGCAUGUCAUUCAAAAUUCUUGAGGAAAAUUUGCAGAGCUGUCGUUGGGGGUUAUGAACUUGGAAUUCUUUUUAUGGCAGUGGAUGCAACUGUUGGAGAUCACAGAAGAACCACCUGGAAUAGAAACACAAUGCUAACUGACCAUGUAGAACUGACGGGUUCAAGGAUCGUAAGCUCCUGAUUUCUUAAACCAGACAAUAGUGUCCUCGAAAAGAAAAUGGCAGAUGGCAAGGGUUCGUGGCGGAAAUUUGAGAAAUUGGAAGGCAAGGUGCUUUGGGUUCCAUUUCGAUGUGUCUGCACAUGGUAGACUGCU